UUGCUACUUAAGUCUUAAUUUGUAUUUUGAUGUUGUUGCUACUGUUUUUGCAUUCAAUUUACAAUUAAAUCAUGUAAAAUUUUGGAUUUGCAUUCUGUUUGUUCGAGAUUUGCAUUAUAUUUGCUGAUUGCUUGCUAUAUCAUUUACAACUUCUAGAUUUUUGUGGAAAUUAUGUGUUUUAUGAAGAUUGGUACUAUUAUUAAGUUGGCUGAGCCUUCAAACGAGAAUCGUGAACGAGAGCUUCUUCAUCUUCUUCUAGCAUCAUAGCAAUGGAAAUCGGAAUUGAUUAUUUGAUAACGGUGAAACGGUUUGAAGAACGGUUAUGGAAAAUUGAACGGUAAUAGAGUAAUAGAGAGAACAUGGUUAUGCAGCACUCAAGUGAGGGGGUCUCAAAGUUACCCAUGGUUAUGGAGAAUUGUACGGAUCGAACUUUUCCAUUUUUUUCUUUUCUUUUUCUUUUUCAUUUAUUUAAUCACUAUGAUGUAUAUGUGGCUUUUUCAUGGGGGCCUCAAAGUUGCAUAAGGGAGUAAAGUUAGAGGGUUGGAAAGUGGGUUUUUUUAAUAGGGGAUCAAAAUCGCAAUUAUUGCAAGUUAUUUUAUUUUAGGAACAAAUAUUUGAAAGAUGGAGUCUUGGAGCAAAAAAAAAGGAGAAUUGGAGCUAAUUCGUGCCAAAAAUAUGAAGAUCUGAUACAAAAAUAUCUUGUGCAAAGAAUUUGAAGAUCUUGUGCAAAAAUAUAACAAGUGGCGCACCCCUUUUACCCUUUUGCUGCUUUUGUUUCUUCGACAAAGCUGCCUAUUUUAGUAUUUCAGACCUAGAGCCUAUGGUUUCUAGUGCAACACUUUAGUGAUUUAAUUCUUGGGGCUCAAGUCAAUGUUAGACUAUAAAUAGAUCAGUCAUCUAGUUUGUAAAACCAUCUUUUGUUCUUGAAAUAAUAAGUGAC
rnacentral:lncRNA from 1 species